rnacentral:rRNA from 1 species
CGAAGGGGGCGAGCGUUGUUCGGAGUUACUGGGCGUAAAGGGCGCGUAGGCGGCGAUCCAAGUUAGGCGUGAAAGCCCCGGGCUUAACCUGGGAAUUGCGCUUAAGACUGGAUUGCUUGAGUGCGGGAGAGGUGAGUGGAAUUCCCAGUGUAGAGGUGAAAUUCGUAGAUAUUGGGAAGAACACCAGUGGCGAAGGCGGCUCACUGGCCCGCAACUGACGCUGAGGCGCGAAAGCGUGGGGAGCAAACAGGAUUAGAUACCCUGGUAGUCCACGCUGUAAACGAUGAGUGCUAGACGUUGGGGAACUCAGUUCCUUGGUGUCGCAGCUAACGCAUGAAGCACUCCGCCUGGGGAGUACGGCCGCAAGGUUA